CGAAAACGGCAUUUGUCGUAAUGCUUGCACUAACAGUCAUGGUGAAUGAAAUCUCAACUGGGAAAGCACCGAGACCUCCACAUUGUCUGUAUAAGCCUUGCAGAGGAAUAAAUGACCCCUCGUGCCUACCAUUCUGCCGCUGUGCCCGGUCCCACAACCGCCUGUUUACGUGCGUUCUACGUAAUUAGAUUGACAUUGCGGUAACAACAACCUUCCAUAUGAGGAUCCGACCUUUCUGGGCAGUAAAGCUCAAGCAAUAAAA
rnacentral:lncRNA from 1 species